AAUCUCUUGCUUCCAAAUUAUUUUUUCUUUCUCUAAAUCAAGUAAACCGAGAAUCAUAUAACAGAAAAUCUCUUCUCUCUUCCAAUCAAGUACUUCAUAUCUCAGGGUUAAAGCUUUGUGGUGUACCGAGAAUCAUAUAAGAGGUAAUCAUCUCUCUCUUCCAAUCAGAUGCAGAUACAAUCCCUAUAAUGUAAUCUUUGUGGAAUCUGGCAUUAUGGUAGUGCUUGUAGUACAUACUAUCGUUGGACGGGACGGCUGCAAGUGCAUCAAGCAUGAAGAAGGAAAAAUACUAUUGUAUUGUAGCAACUUUACAUACAAAUUAGCUGAUUACAUUUUAUUUGUCCCAUCCCAUUUCUUUUAAUCUCAUGUCACGCCGAAUACAAUAGAUGUAUUCUGAUGUUAUUAUUCAAUA